CCCUGCAGCUUCAACCUGAAACCUUAGCAGGUGUGAACCUGGCCAGUACCUGGAUGGGAGACCUCCUGGGAAAGCUGAGGUUGCUGCUGGAA
rnacentral:rRNA from 1 species